rnacentral:rRNA from 1 species
GAAUGCCUCCGACUAUCCCGAGCCAUAGCGAAAGCACGUUAGUGCGUGUAGGGCUUCGCAGAGGACACGUAAAUACUGCCGCAGCGUGUGAUGCGUAGUGAUCCGCUAGACACGGAGGUAGCAAGUCAGUGUCUGUCGCGUGACUGACGCUCAUGUGCGUCAGUCACUGGAGCAGAACGCGAUUAGAUCCUCCGGUAGUCCUGGGGGUAUACGAUGAUCACCACGGUGCGGGAGGUAUCGACGCGUUCCUUUCCAAAGGAAACGCAUAAAGUGGUCCGCUAGGGGAGUGCAGUCGCAAGAUUAAAACUCAAAGGAAUUGACGCAGACCCGCACAAGCAGCGGAGCGUGUGGUAUAAUUGGAUGAGACUCGAAGAACCUUACCAGGGUUUGACAUGCAGGUGCACCAUCCAGAGAUGGAUGUCCCUUCGGGGCGCCUGCACAGUUGCUGCAUAGCUGUCGUCACCUUGUGCAGUGAGUUGUUGGGUUAAGUCCCGCAACGAGUGCAACUCCUGUCGUCGGUUAGGAUGUCCGGCGAGAUGCCCACGCUAAACGUGGAGGAAGGUGGGGAUGACGUCAAGUCAGCUCGUCCCUUACGUCCUGGGCGACACACUCGCUACAAUGGGCGAGACAACCGGUCGCGAACCCGCGAGGGGGAGCUAAUCCUAACAAACUCUCUCUCAGUUAGGAUUGCAGGCUGCAACCCGCCUGCAUGAAACCGGAGUUGCUAGUAACCGUGGGUCAGCACACCACGGUGAAUACGUUCCCGGGUCAGGUACACCCCGCCCGUCACACCACGAAAGUCGGCAACACCGGAAGCCGCUGGGCUAACUCUUGUUCUUCGGAGGAAGAGGGCCAGGCGUCGAGGGUGGGCUUGGUCCAGGGGCGAAGUCGAACAAGGUAACCA